rnacentral:lncRNA from 1 species
GGGAGAAGCGCGUGAGACAAUCCUCAACAGCAAAACGACAACACGGCCUCUCCGUCCUCGUCACCGGAGCUGCCGGAUUCGUCGGAUCUCACUGCUCAAUCGCGCUUAGGAAACGCGGCGACGGAGUUUUAGGAUUCGACAACUUCAACGACUACUACGAUCCAUCACUCAAAAGAGCGAGACAACACCUCCUAGAGAAGAACCAAGUGUUCAUCGUCGAAGGAGAUCUCAACGACGGGCCUCUCCUGCGCAAGCUCUUCGACAUCGUCCCUUUCACUCACGUCCUCCACUUAGCAGCUCAAGCCGGAGUUCGUUACGCCAUGAAGAACCCUCAGUCUUAUAUCAGCUCAAACAUCGCUGGUCUCGUUAACCUCCUCGAAGUAGCCAAAGCAGCUAACCCUCAGCCUGCGAUCGUCUGGGCUUCGUCUAGCUCCGUGUACGGUCUCAACACCGAGAAUCCCUUCUCUGAAGAACACAGAACGGAUCAGCCGGCGAGUCUUUACGCGGCGACGAAGAAAGCAGGGGAGGAGAUAGCUCACACUUACAACCACAUCUACGGUCUUUCCUUAACCGGACUCCGGUUCUUUACGGUUUACGGUCCUUGGGGAAGACCAGACAUGGCUUACUUCUUCUUCACUAAAGACAUACUCCACGGGAAGUCUAUCGACAUUUACCGAACUCAGGACAAUCAAGAAGUGGCGCGUGACUUCACCUACAUCGACGACAUCGUUAAAGGAUGUGUCGGUGCGUUGGAUACGGCGGAGAAGAGCACGGGAAGCGGCGGAAAGAAGCGAGGACCGGCUCAGUUACGUGUCUACAAUCUCGGGAACACAUCUCCGGUUCCGGUGGGGAGAUUGGUUUCGAUAUUGGAAGGGUUGUUGGGGACGAAAGCGAAGAAGCAUCUGAUCAAAAUGCCUAGAAACGGUGACGUGCCGUACACGCAUGCGAAUGUGAGCUUAGCGUAUAGAGAUUUCGGGUAUAAACCGACGACGGAUCUCGCGGCGGGGUUGAGGAAGUUCGUCAAGUGGUACGUUAGUUAUUAUGGGAUACAGCCGAGGGUGAAAAAGGAAAACUCUCACGCCGACGAAUCCGCUUAAUAAUCUCUCUGCUUCAUCAUCAUCACAUGCCUGUUUAUUUUUCUUUUUUUUUUAAAAAAAUAUAUUUACAGGGACAGAUUUCUGUACUUUUCCUUUUUUAAAAAUUUUUUUAUGGUGGUCCUUUUUUAGGGGAUAAAAGUGGGGAAUUAUAUUGUUACAGCUGUAUGUUAUAAUGGAAGAACAAAAAAAAAGAGAGGGUACAAUUUGACAAUAACUAAUACAUUACAUUUAAUAUUGAUUUAUAUUUUUGUUAAACUUUUUAAAAUACGGUAAUAAUUCAUAAAUCAUCACUAAAAUAAAUAUAUUGAAAUAUGCAUUAUAAAUUUCGAGAUACAUUAUUUAAAUGUAUUUUUGUAAUUAUACAAUUUUUAUUACUAAUAUUUUCAAAAUUUUCUACAUCUUUUUUAAAAAAUUAAUAAAUUGUUAAUCGUAAUUUCAUUAGUUUCUUUUAGAUAUCUACAAAUUUUAUAAAUAUUGUUUAGUUAUAAUUUUUAAUAACUAUACAAUUUUUNNNNNNNNNNNNNNNNNNNNNNNNNNNNNNNNNNNNNNNNNNNNNNNNNNNNNNNNNNNNNNNNNNNNNNNNNNNNNNNNNNNNNNNNNNNNNNNNNNNNNNNNNNNNNNNNNNNNNNNNNNNNNNNNNNNNNNNNNNNNNNNNNNNNNNNNNNNNNNNNNNNNNNNNNNNNNNNNNNNNNNNNNNNNNNNNNNNNNNNNNNNNNNNNNNNNNNNNNNNNNNNNNNNNNNNNNNNNNNNNNNNNNNNNNNNNNNNNNNNNNNNNNNNNNNNNNNNNNNNNNNNNNNNNNNNNNNNNNNNNNNNNNNNNNNNNNNNNNNNNNNNNNNNNNNNNNNNNNNNNNNNNNNNNNNNNNNNNNNNNNNNNNNNNNNNNNNNNNNNNNNNNNNNNNNNNNNNNNNNNNNNNNNNNNNNNNNNNNNNNNNNNNNNNNNNNNNNNNNNNNNNNNNNNNNNNNNNNNNNNNNNNNNNNNNNNNNNNNNNNNNNNNNNNNNNNNNNNNNNNNNNNNNNNNNNNNNNNNNNNNNNNNNNNNNNNNNNNNNNNNNNNNNNNNNNNNNNNNNNNNNNNNNNNNNNNNNNNNNNNNNNNNNNNNNNNNNNNNNNNNNNNNNNNNNNNNNNNNNNNNNNNNNNNNNNUUUUAUUUAUUUUUGUUUAUUUAUUUAAUUUUAAACCAAGGGUAUUAGGGAUAUUUUACCCUUUAAUGAAUGUCAUUUUUGUGACUUUCUCCUUCUAGUGCUAUUUUUGAGACAUAAACUUCAAAAGGUGCUAUUAUUGACAAUUGCCCUUUCGCGAAUGUUUCUCCCAUUUUAUUUUAUAUCGACACUAUAUUUAUUAUAUGGUAUUCCAAGUUACCUUUGCUGGGGAUGGAUAUUUGUAUAUUCAAGCUUAACUAAGCUUUAGAUAUGCUACAAAGAUACCUAAAUCACAGAUAGAUAUAGUUCUUCUUCAUUCUUUUUUUUUCCAAUUCAUAUUAGGUAGUUUAUCUAUAUUGGUAGAAAAUAUUAUAUAUAUUUUUUUUGAAAACAUAAUCUUAGCAGGGUAACUGAAAAAGAAUUGAUCGUUUGUAACUCUUUACACUAAAACGGUUUUUCUAGCUUAUAAAUCUAAAUUGCAAUUCCGGAAACCAAACUGAAGAAAUAAUUAUGCAAGUCUAGUUAGGUUGUUUGAAAUCAUUGAUUCAUUCAUGUUACUAGGAUCUGUUCAGAUCUCUAACAUUAAUUUUCCAGCUUCUCUGUCUGCUAUAUAUUUUUUAUUUGUUUCCGUAGAAUGUAAGCAUCUUUUGAAAACGCGUAGACUGUAGACAUCGACUAUUUGACAAUUUUCUUGCUUUUUCCUCAAGGGCUUCAUUUAUUUUUGACAUGUACUUUUUUAUAUUAAGUUGAAUCCGACCCUAUUUCACAAAUAUGAUUACAAACAUUUCACAAUUUAAAAUUAUAAAACAUAAAGAAAUAAAAAGUCAGCAAAUAAAAUUGGUCCAAAUGUUCACACAUAAGACCAAGUGGGGGGAGUCACAUGGGGCACUCUUCUUCACUUCCUCGCACCAGAAGACAAACCGAAGUGGGGCUGUCCUCUUGCUGAACCAAUGUGCUAAAAUUCCUUAGUUAUUUGAGUCGUUUCGUUAUAUACUUUUUAACAAUGAAAGUCCAAAAUUUACUCAUAUUAUUAUUCUUCUUAACAAAAGAAUCCAUAUUAAAGUAUACAUUACUGUUAAGUAAUAGAACACGAUCACUGCUAUUUUAUUACAAAAUUCCAGUUAAUUAGCUCAUGGUUGAUAGUCUACGCGUUUUCAGAAGAAAUUUAAGUCUACUAUAUAUUUUCAAAUCGAAUAUUUAUCUUAACUACGUUUAACGUCUUUCGAAUACUCUAUGAGGUCGUUUCGAAACCUUUAACAUAAACUAAGAAAAAAUUUAAGCAUAUUAAAUUUAUUUUAUUAAGUUAAGUUAUGAUAUUUUUGUUCUAUCUGUCUAUUCAACAAAUUUUUCUAAGUUGUAUUCAUCAAAAUAUAUGGUUUUUAUGUUAGCCUUGCAUUCACUGACAAAAAAAGAGGUAGUCCUACUUUAGUAUACCACAUAAUAACUUGAAAUUAGGAUAAGACAUGCGCUUUGCGCAUGAUAAAUUUAUAUGAAAAUUAUUUAAAAAAUAUCGUAUGGAAAAAAAAAUUUAUAUUCUUGACUGAAUUAAUAUUUUUGGCCCUUAAACAAUUUUUAAAAACUUUUUUGUUAAUUACAUAAUUUGUUUACAGAUGAGCUGAUCUCAUUUUUAAAAAUAUUUUAAGUCAAAAAAUCACUUAUCGCAUAAGAACCUAACAUUUAUGCCGAAGAAUCUCAGGCCUACUAAUUAGUUAUAAUGAAACUAUGUCAGUUCAGUUUUAUAUCAUGAUUUAGCAAUUUAAAAGUUAAUUAUGGUUAUGAGAAGUUUACGUUCAUGUGUCAAUCCUAUCUAUCUUCAAUAUUUUUCACAUUUUUGUGUCACUAUUUUCAUUUUGGAUAUUACUCGAUAUAAAUAUUGAUUUUUGAGUUUAUUAAAUAAAAAUCAAACGACCGCUCUUGUUUACUCGCAAUCAUUUUAGAGUAUAUAAAUCAAAACAAUCAGUCUUAUCUAUCGUAUAUGAUAUAUAAUUAAAUUUGAAUGAUAUUAACAUAGAUAUAUAAUAUACUUUUAAUAUGAAUAUUUUUUAAAUAAGGUUUCUACUCAUCUAAUUUUAUGAUUAUUUGCAUAUUUGUGUAACACAAUUUUACACCAACGAUUUUUUUUUUAAUGUGGAAUGUUUAGUGGUUUCAAUAAUUUAUAAUCAUUUAAAAAAAACAAUGAAGAUUUCAAAAUUAAAGUAUUAACUUUUAAAUAUAUGUUCAACACAGAUAUCAAAAUAUAAGUAUGUAUUUUCAUAUGAUGUAUAGUUUAAUUUAAACGAUAUAUAUAUGUAUAUAUAUAUCAAAAUAUAAGUAUGUAUUUUCAUAUGAUGUAUAGUUUAAUUUAAACGAUAUAUAUAUAUAUAUAUUAGCAUAAACACCUUAUAAAAUAAAAUUAUUUAUUCAUAUGAUUUUGUAAUCAUUGUAUUUUAUUAUAGAAAAUCAAUUAAACCUUCAUCACAAAAAUAUAUGUGAGAGUUUUAACAGUUUUAAUAAUUUAUACUCAUUUAAAAAAAUUCAAAAUACAUAUACAAAAAAAAUUUUAAUUUUUAUUAUAUGAUUAAUGUAAUUGUGUAAUUUAUUUAAAUAAUAAAUAAUUAAAAAAAUGAUAUAAAGUAUACAGAUUGUUAGCAAAUCUUUAUUAUUUAAUAUCAUUAAUUGCCAUAUAUAUUUUAAUCACAUUAGGUAAUUACGUAGGUUUUAUUUAAGAAAAGAAUAUAUAAUAAUUUCAAUUUGAUAAAUGAAUGGUCCAUAAUGGAUACACUAUUUUAUAUAAUAUUCUUUAGCAAUUUAAUUUUAGACUAACAAAAUUUUCAAUUUAUUCUCAAGCCGUCACGUAAUAAAAAUAGCAUUCUAAUUACGUGACAACUUAGCAGAACAUUUUUUAAUUAGUACAAACUAUAGGUUAUAACUUUUAAAAUGUUUCUCUAUUUAUAUAUAGAGGAUAACUUAAAUUUUAAACUUAUUACAUUUAAAUGAGUGAAUUAGCUAGGUAGUCACUCUAGAAUUCCUCUAGAAUUUCGUAGAUAUAAUUUCAUCUUUAUAAUUACGAAAAAUAUAUAAUUAUAUAUGCUAAAUGAAAAUUUUGAUUGACUACUUGCAACAUUUUUUUUAAUAUUAACGUAUUGAAUCUCUAAAGAUCAAAGAAACCCAUGAAAACCAUAAAAAGUUAAGAAAAUGACAAAUUUUGAUACCUAGUAGCAAUGAAUAAAACUGCAUAGUUAAUAAACAGAUCUUGACUAUAAAAUAAGUAAGUGAAAUCAACUCUCUCCAAUGUGGCUUAAGCCCUAACUUCCACAUCCUUAAUAUUUUUGGUAAAAUCACACUCGUGUUAAAAAACUAACGUCACCAUCACAACUACAACAGUACUUUUUGUUUUUUUGGGUAAAAUUUAUUAUUAUAUUUUAGAAACUAAGUCGUGGAUUUAUAUAAUAUCUUUAUUACAGUAAAAGUGGGUUCCGACCAGCUAAAUUUCUCUCUUUGUCUUUAUAAUCAUAUGCUCGUUCUUCACUUGGUUUCUCAGGGCUAGAAAGAAAAACUCUCUGAAACCCUCAAGUCCCUUAAAAUCUUCGAAAAUAUAACAUUUUCUCAAGCCUCUUCUUCAAUCCAGAGAGAAGAAUAAUCAACAAUCAAAUCUAAAUCAGUUCUGAGAGUUUCCAUCAAAAGACGAAAAUGCCACUGUCGGCUACGGCGGAUACAAGCAAGACGGUGAAGCUGGAGAGGUACAACAGCUACCUCCGCAAGAUCCACAGCACAAAAGUUCUCAAAGCUUCUUCUAAAGUUCUUUUCCGAGCAACACUCCUCAUCGCUCUAGUUCUUGUCCUACUCUUCGCAGUCAACUACCAUCCACACUCCGACAGCCACCAUCUCCACCGACGCAGCUUCUUAUCCACCGGACUCUUCUCUUCCUCCUCGUCUCUAGGCGAAGGAGCCGCUUGGGAGAAGCGAGUAAGACAAUCCUCAACAGCAAAACGACAACACGGCCUCUCCGUCCUCGUAACCGGAGCUGCCGGAUUCGUCGGAUCUCACUGCUCAAUCGCACUUAGGAAACGCGGCGACGGAGUCUUAGGAUUCGACAACUUCAACGACUACUACGAUCCAUCACUCAAAAGAGCGAGACAACACCUCCUAGAGAAGAACCAAGUGUUCAUCGUCGAAGGAGAUCUCAACGACGGACCUCUCCUGCGCAAGCUCUUCGACAUCGUCCCUUUCACUCACGUCCUCCACUUAGCAGCUCAAGCCGGAGUUCGUUACGCCAUGAAGAACCCUCAGUCUUAUAUCAGCUCAAACAUCGCUGGUCUGGUUAACCUCCUCGAAGUAGCCAAAGCAGCUAACCCUCAGCCUGCGAUCGUCUGGGCUUCGUCUAGCUCCGUGUACGGACUCAACACCGAGAAUCCCUUCUCUGAAGAACACAGAACGGAUCAGCCGGCGAGUCUUUACGCGGCGACGAAGAAAGCAGGUGAGGAGAUAGCUCACACUUACAACCACAUCUACGGUCUUUCUUUAACCGGACUCCGGUUCUUUACGGUUUACGGUCCUUGGGGAAGACCAGACAUGGCUUACUUCUUCUUCACUAAGGACAUACUACACGGGAAGUCUAUCGACAUCUACCGGACUCAGGACAAUCAAGAAGUGGCGCGUGACUUCACCUACAUCGACGACAUCGUUAAAGGAUGUGUCGGUGCGUUAGAUACGGCGGAGAAGAGCACGGGAAGCGGCGGAAAGAAGCGAGGACCGGCUCAGCUACGUGUCUACAAUCUCGGGAACACUUCUCCGGUUCCGGUCGGGAGAUUGGUUUCGAUAUUGGAAGGGUUGUUGGGGACGAAAGCGAAGAAGCAUCUGAUCAAAAUGCCUAGAAACGGUGACGUGCCUUACACGCAUGCGAAUGUCAGCUUAGCGUAUAGAGAUUUCGGGUAUAAACCGACGACGGAUCUCGCGGCGGGGUUGAGGAAGUUCGUCAAGUGGUACGUUAGUUAUUAUGGGAUACAGCCGAGGGUGAAAAAGGAAAACUCUCACGCCGACGAAUCCGCUUAAUAAUCUCUCUGCUUCAUCAUCAUCACAUGCCUGUUUAUUUUUCUUUUUUUUCAAAAAAAAUAUAUUUACAGGGACAGAUUUCUGUACUUUUCCUUUUUUAAAAAUUUUUUUAUGGUGGUCCUUUUUUAGGGGAUCAAAGUGGGGAAUUAUAUUGUUACAGCUGUAUGUUAUAAUGGAAGAACAAAAAAAAAGAGAGGGUACAAUUUGACAAUAACUAAUACAUUACAUUUAAUAUUGAUUUAUAUUUUUGUUAAACUUUUUAAAAUACGGUAAUAAUUCAUAAAUCAUCACUAAAAUAAAUAUAUUGAAAUAUGCAUUAUAAAUUUCGAAAUACAUUAUUUAAUUGUAUUUUUAUAAUUAUACAGUUUUUAUUACUAAUAUUUUCAAAAUUUUCUACAUCUUUUUUAAAAAAUUAAUAAAUUGUUAAUCGUAAUUUCAUUAGUUUCUUUUAGAUAUCUAUAAAUUUUAUAAAUAUUUUUUAGUUAUAAUUUUUAAUCUAUAUGAUUUUUAGUAAUUUUAUACAAGUUGAUUUAAUACAUUUAACCAAAAUAAAUAGAUAAAAAAUUUAUCUAAGAUUCGAAUUUUAAAUAUAUUACAUAUAUAUUAUUAAAUGUAAUUUAAAAUAAACAAAAUUAUUUUUUUCUUAAUUUUAUGCUUAAAUAAUCAACUUUAUAUUAAAUGUUAGUCAAAAAUAAUAAAAUAUAUAAUAUUAAUAAAUUUUAUUUUAAAUAUAAUUUAACUUUUAAAAAAUUGAUCACUGCACAUGACGAAGGAAAACUUCUAGUAAACCAAAAAAGAGAGAAAAGAAGAGGACCAUUGGCAUAGGACCUCCUUUUUCGUCAUCAACUAUUUUGGUUUGAAUGUUAUUAUCAUCUUUAUUUUUUAUGCUUUCUUUUAUGAACUUUAGCUUUUAUUUUCUGUAUCGAUAAUAUAAGCUUCGGUAAUUAUUAAGAUAUUCCCUUUUGAAGGUGCCAUGCCUUGCCAAUAGCACUUCUAAUAGAUUUCACAACAUGGUUUUCUCAGUAUAUGUAAACACAAAAUAUAAUUAUAUUUAAUUGUAUAUAUCUUAAAUAUAAAAACACAUAUCAAAAUCUCUCAGAAAUGGUUUUAUCAAAUUUUAAAUACAGAAAUGGUUUUAUCAAAUUUUAAAUAUUGAUAUUUUUAUUUUAAUAUGUUUACAAAUGUUUUAUGAGAUACGCUUAUUGAAAAUCCAAUAGCAUUUUAAUUGUAAAGGAAUUUCUACAUUUAUUUCAAUUGAUAUUUUCUUCAAAAAAAAAUUUACUAAAUUUCAGCAGUAAUAAAAAAUUUCUUCCACAACUAUAAAAAUCUUGCACAGUAAAAAUCUACCUGAAGAACAAAUAUUGUAAUAAAAAAAUCUAAUAAAGUAAGAUUAAGUUGGUUCAUAUAAAAAGCAUAAGUAGAGUAUUCUAUUUAUGGGCUACAAUACAAAUCUCAUAUGAAAAUAAUCAUUGUUUUGUAUUCGAUGAAACACUUAGGGCAUCUCCAUCUUCGCUCCAUAGUUUACUCUAUAAAUGGAGUGGACUAAUCUUUUAUUUUUCUUCAUGUUUCAUUUCUCACUCCAUUUAUCAGUAAAUUAUAGAGUGAGGAUGAAGAUUUCUCACUCUAUUUAUCAGUAAAUUAUAGAGUGAUGAUGGAGAUGAUUUUGGAUGCCAUAGAUUCAAAAAAAUCAAUUAACUAACCGUAACGCUGAAGCCCUCAAUUCUGACUCAUAUCUGAGCUUCGGCAAGUCACAAAGAUAGAGAUGAAGGCUCUUUAGCCGCCCUAACCAGCCUUAUCCCACUAGAGCUUCAUAGAAAGCAUGGAUCACUGAUUUCAGUUUAGAUUCACAUAAAAUCUACAGAGUCAAGUAAGAAGAUAAAACAAAGGUGAUAAAGUACGAAAAAAUAGGUGGAAGAAGAAAAGGGAAUGACGACCAGCAACAAGAGGAGACUACCACUACCAUAUGCCAGAUCAUGAAACGACAACGACAAAAAAAAUUGUGAGCAAAAAAAAAGAGAGUAAACGAGGAGCAGAGUUUAUAAUUACUCUCUCGCUCUCUCUCUCAAUUCUUUUUGAUGUUAAUACUUAAUAGUCACAACCAACUUCACCACCAUAACCAGCACCAUCAUCAUAUGAUGAUCUUAGGGCACUUGGUCUCGCUUUUGCAAGGUUCACAUGGAUGUUCCUACCAUUUAACUCUUGAACAAACCCAAAACAAAACAAAAAUCAGAUUUUUUUUAAAAAAUAGAAUAAUCAGUAACACUACACAUCAUAAAUGUUCUUUAAUUUCUAACCUUCCCAUAUCUAUUUAUGUGAAGACAUUAUUUCAGAAUUUUCACAGUUGAAGCUGCCAAAUCCCUCGACCUACAUGUUGUUAUGUUUGUAAAGCCACAACAUUCCAAUGAACAUUACUAGGUCCCUAGGCAGUACAAACCUAAAUACUAAUACAAUCUCACGAAAAUUCAUCAUCUAUCUAAAUUAUUCAUUCUUUUAGAUAAGACUUUAGAGUGAUUUAAUUAAAAUUAUAGGUUUAAUAAUUCUUCCAAAAUCAUCUAAAAUUCAUUGAAACCAAAACUUUUGAAAUUUUCUAAAAUACAUAAUACAAUACAGCCUCUAGAUUUAUGUACAAAACUUAAAACACUCUCAUUUUUCUUAAAAAGAUCUUUCGUUUUGCUCAAAUAAAUUACGUGUGGUUAAGUUUAUUGUAUAUUAUGCACUGUGGUAGUUUUAACCAUAAUCAAAAGGUGCGAGAGUAAGUGAGUAACUAAGUCAAAGUACAAAUGAAAAACCGUAGGUCUACUGAAUAUUGAAUACAUGUUGUGUAGAGAAUCAAGUUCUGCUUGAACUGUUCUGAAUUUAUCCAACUCUUUUACUAGCCACGUCGGGUUGUUUAUCAUUCUGUUUAUUAUUGUUCACAUCAACGGCUCCACCAUUUACCAAAAUGGACCAGAACCCAUAACCAGUAUAUCGGCCGAAAGCCCAUUGUAUUGAUUUAUAAAUGUCAUUUAGCAACACAGGUUUAUAUUGAUUUCUCUGAAGUAAAGCAAAUUCAAACUUAUUAUUAGCUUGUUAACUUAAACUACCACAUAUUUUGAUUUUUUAUAGAUAUUGGACGAUAAAUUUAUGUGAACUGUAACUCUGUAACACACAAACCUACCGUACAUGAAAAGUAGGUGAAUCAUUCACUGCAGUUAAGUUGUAACUGAAUAUGGACCCAACCUAAUCUAAAGCAGCUGACAAGUCAUAAGUCACAACCUUAUGCUAAUAUUUAUUGACCACUAAUAUUCACAUCCUUGCGGUUGAACAAAUUAUCAUUCUUUGUGCUUAUUGGGUGUUGUUUUAGUCAUCUUGUUUCGUAAACUGAAAUUGAAAUAUUCAUAUGUUUGGAUAAUAUGUGAUGAUCUUUUUUUUUUUUUUUUUUGAUAAAAAUAUGUGAUGAUCUUUGCGGAAAAGAAAUAUAAAACGACCAUAUCUAAUACGGUUUGGUUCAACCGUUUUGAAAAGAUGAUGUAUCUAAGAUUCGAAUUUUAAAUAUAUUACAUAUAUAUUAUUAAAUGUAAUUUAAAAUAAACAAAAUUAUUUUUUUCUUAAUUUUAUGCUUAAAUAAUCAACUUUAUAUUAAAUGUUAGUCAAAAAUAAUAAAAUAUAUAAUAUUAAUAAAUUUUAUUUUAAAUAUAAUUUAACUUUUAAAAAAUUGAUCACUGCACAUGACGAAGGAAAACUUCUAGUAAACCAAAAAAGAGAGAAAAGAAGAGGACCAUUGGCAUAGGACCUCCUUUUUCGUCAUCAACUAUUUUGGUUUGAAUGUUAUUAUCAUCUUUAUUUUUUAUGCUUUCUUUUAUGAACUUUAGCUUUUAUUUUCUGUAUCGAUAAUAUAAGCUUCGGUAAUUAUUAAGAUAUUCCCUUUUGAAGGUGCCAUGCCUUGCCAAUAGCACUUCUAAUAGAUUUCACAACAUGGUUUUCUCAGUAUAUGUAAACACAAAAUAUAAUUAUAUUUAAUUGUAUAUAUCUUAAAUAUAAAAACACAUAUCAAAAUCUCUCAGAAAUGGUUUUAUCAAAUUUUAAAUACAGAAAUGGUUUUAUCAAAUUUUAAAUAUUGAUAUUUUUAUUUUAAUAUGUUUACAAAUGUUUUAUGAGAUACGCUUAUUGAAAAUCCAAUAGCAUUUUAAUUGUAAAGGAAUUUCUACAUUUAUUUCAAUUGAUAUUUUCUUCAAAAAAAAAUUUACUAAAUUUCAGCAGUAAUAAAAAAUUUCUUCCACAACUAUAAAAAUCUUGCACAGUAAAAAUCUACCUGAAGAACAAAUAUUGUAAUAAAAAAAUCUAAUAAAGUAAGAUUAAGUUGGUUCAUAUAAAAAGCAUAAGUAGAGUAUUCUAUUUAUGGGCUACAAUACAAAUCUCAUAUGAAAAUAAUCAUUGUUUUGUAUUCGAUGAAACACUUAGGGCAUCUCCAUCUUCGCUCCAUAGUUUACUCUAUAAAUGGAGUGGACUAAUCUUUUAUUUUUCUUCAUGUUUCAUUUCUCACUCCAUUUAUCAGUAAAUUAUAGAGUGAGGAUGAAGAUUUCUCACUCUAUUUAUCAGUAAAUUAUAGAGUGAUGAUGGAGAUGAUUUUGGAUGCCAUAGAUUCAAAAAAAUCAAUUAACUAACCGUAACGCUGAAGCCCUCAAUUCUGACUCAUAUCUGAGCUUCGGCAAGUCACAAAGAUAGAGAUGAAGGCUCUUUAGCCGCCCUAACCAGCCUUAUCCCACUAGAGCUUCAUAGAAAGCAUGGAUCACUGAUUUCAGUUUAGAUUCACAUAAAAUCUACAGAGUCAAGUAAGAAGAUAAAACAAAGGUGAUAAAGUACGAAAAAAUAGGUGGAAGAAGAAAAGGGAAUGACGACCAGCAACAAGAGGAGACUACCACUACCAUAUGCCAGAUCAUGAAACGACAACGACAAAAAAAAUUGUGAGCAAAAAAAAAGAGAGUAAACGAGGAGCAGAGUUUAUAAUUACUCUCUCGCUCUCUCUCUCAAUUCUUUUUGAUGUUAAUACUUAAUAGUCACAACCAACUUCACCACCAUAACCAGCACCAUCAUCAUAUGAUGAUCUUAGGGCACUUGGUCUCGCUUUUGCAAGGUUCACAUGGAUGUUCCUACCAUUUAACUCUUGAACAAACCCAAAACAAAACAAAAAUCAGAUUUUUUUUAAAAAAUAGAAUAAUCAGUAACACUACACAUCAUAAAUGUUCUUUAAUUUCUAACCUUCCCAUAUCUAUUUAUGUGAAGACAUUAUUUCAGAAUUUUCACAGUUGAAGCUGCCAAAUCCCUCGACCUACAUGUUGUUAUGUUUGUAAAGCCACAACAUUCCAAUGAACAUUACUAGGUCCCUAGGCAGUACAAACCUAAAUACUAAUACAAUCUCACGAAAAUUCAUCAUCUAUCUAAAUUAUUCAUUCUUUUAGAUAAGACUUUAGAGUGAUUUAAUUAAAAUUAUAGGUUUAAUAAUUCUUCCAAAAUCAUCUAAAAUUCAUUGAAACCAAAACUUUUGAAAUUUUCUAAAAUACAUAAUACAAUACAGCCUCUAGAUUUAUGUACAAAACUUAAAACACUCUCAUUUUUCUUAAAAAGAUCUUUCGUUUUGCUCAAAUAAAUUACGUGUGGUUAAGUUUAUUGUAUAUUAUGCACUGUGGUAGUUUUAACCAUAAUCAAAAGGUGCGAGAGUAAGUGAGUAACUAAGUCAAAGUACAAAUGAAAAACCGUAGGUCUACUGAAUAUUGAAUACAUGUUGUGUAGAGAAUCAAGUUCUGCUUGAACUGUUCUGAAUUUAUCCAACUCUUUUACUAGCCACGUCGGGUUGUUUAUCAUUCUGUUUAUUAUUGUUCACAUCAACGGCUCCACCAUUUACCAAAAUGGACCAGAACCCAUAACCAGUAUAUCGGCCGAAAGCCCAUUGUAUUGAUUUAUAAAUGUCAUUUAGCAACACAGGUUUAUAUUGAUUUCUCUGAAGUAAAGCAAAUUCAAACUUAUUAUUAGCUUGUUAACUUAAACUACCACAUAUUUUGAUUUUUUAUAGAUAUUGGACGAUAAAUUUAUGUGAACUGUAACUCUGUAACACACAAACCUACCGUACAUGAAAAGUAGGUGAAUCAUUCACUGCAGUUAAGUUGUAACUGAAUAUGGACCCAACCUAAUCUAAAGCAGCUGACAAGUCAUAAGUCACAACCUUAUGCUAAUAUUUAUUGACCACUAAUAUUCACAUCCUUGCGGUUGAACAAAUUAUCAUUCUUUGUGCUUAUUGGGUGUUGUUUUAGUCAUCUUGUUUCGUAAACUGAAAUUGAAAUAUUCAUAUGUUUGGAUAAUAUGUGAUGAUCUUUUUUUUUUUUUUUUUUUUGAUAAAAAUAUGUGAUGAUCUUUGCGGAAAAGAAAUAUAAAACGACCAUAUCUAAUACGGUUUGGUUCAACCGUUUUGAAAAGAUGAUGUUUGACUGCCAUCUGAUCCUAUUUCAAUUCCUAGAGGCUUUCUACACUUAGAAAGAGAGCAUUUAUAUGAAUGUAUUGUUAAGCUAGAUGUUCUUCCAACCUAAAACCAAUUGAUGAUAAGUGGAAUGAUCCAUCCAUCUUAUAUAUUACUAAUGAUCCCUUCCAAUAUCCGAUGUGGGACAUUUAUCCCUAAUAUGCCCCCUCGAGAUGAUGGCUCUUUGAGCGUCAAUCUCGAAAUGUACGGGUAAGGAUCGAUGGGCCGACUUUGGGCUAGAUCGAUAAUGGAUCGGAUUGGUUUGCAUGAAUCGGACUCUGAUACCAUGUUAAGCUAGAUGAGCUUCCAACCUAAAACCAAUUGGUGAUAAGUGGAGUGGUCCAUCUAUUUUAUAUAUUGCUUAAGAUCCGUUCCAACAACCGAUGUGGGACACUUCGUGUCUAAUAUGUAUCACCUACAAUUAUCAUUAAAAGUCAGCUUCGCAUGUAGGUCAAAAGCUCGGAAUUUCUUGGUUACCAAUAUACGGAUUAUAUAAGUGAUCAUAUGUAGUAUGUACCAACACUAGGUAAUUAUUUACAUGCAAAUUUAUAAUAACAUGUGUACCUGUUAUAAUUACAUAUAACAUAUAUUCCUAUUAUAAGUACUAGGAUAAGGACCCCCGCAGUUACGGAGGAAAGACUUCAAAAUUUUAAAUACAAUUAAAAAUAAAAAGUAUAAAAUAUUUGAAAUGAAAAUGAUGACACAUAAAAAGGUUUAGUUUAUAUUUAAUCUUUGUAAUUACUGUUAAACCUAAUAUAUAUUAAAGGAUACAUAAUCGCCAAAUAAGAUGAAAUUAAUUUGUUCUAUUGCGAUGUUUGAAAAGAACCACUAAUUUAUUAUAAAUUUGGGCACCAAAAUUAAAAUACUAAUUUUGCUAGAAUAUGGUGCCUUUAAUAAGAUGUUUCAAGUAUAAAAUUUUAGUGGAUUUGUAAUUUCGUAAUGAACUAACAUCAUAGAGAAAAACUACACAGCUGAUCUGGAUUCUGGUGUAUCCAAAAAUAAUUGUAAAUAAGACUAAAUGAAUAUAUGCAAUUUUGAAAUAAUUAAGAAUUUUACGAUCAACUGUAAAAAUAUUAUCUUAUAAUAUUUAAGGCAUUUUACAGUAAUACUUAAAGUUCAAAUUUUACAUAACAUACCAACAUAAGGAUGAACAUAUUAAUUUAGUGAGCAGUCAAUAUUGGUAUAAAAUACAAACAUUGAUAAUGACUGAAUUGUGCAUGAGUGGAUGUCAAAAAAAAAUUGUACAUUGAUAAUGACUGAAUUGUCUUAAACAUAUUUGUUGAAAGUAGAAUGUAAAUCAUAUCUUAUACAUCUAUUAACAAUUUUAGUGGAUUUGUAAUUUCGUAAUGAACUAACAUCAUAGAGAAAAACUACACAAUUGAUCUGGAUUCUGGUGUAUCCAAAAAUAAUUGUAAAUAAGACUAAAUGAAUAUAUGCAAUUUUGAAAUAAUUAAGAAUUUUACGAUCAACUGUAAAAAUAUUAUCUUAUAAUAUUUAAGGCAUUUUACAGUAAUACUUAAAGUUCAAAUUUUACAUAACAUACCAACAUAAGGAUGAACAUAUUAAUUUAGUGAGCAGUCAAUAUUGGUAUAAAAUACAAACAUUGAUAAUGACUGAAUUGUGCAUGAGUGGAUGUCAAAAAAAAAUUGUACAUUGCUAAUGACUGAAUUGUCUUAAACAUAUUUGUUGAAAGUAGAAUGUAAAUCAUAUCUUAUACAUCUAUUAACAAUUUUUUUUUUUCAUAUAUAACCAUCUAGUAAAUAUGCUUUUCUGAAACACACAAUAGCAACAAUCGGGUAAAAAUGAGAUUAAUACUUUCUCAACAUUUUUUUUUGGUAAAAUUUUCAAAUAACUGGACAUUAUAAUAUUUAAAUGAGAAUAUGUCAUUCAAAUUGAAAAAAAAAUAGAGUUGAAAAGAUAAAAUAAUUGCAAUAUUUCUUGUAAGAAUCUGUUACAAAGCUAAUGUAUAAUUGGAGUAUAUAAUCUUUAUAAUUAAUGGUAAUGAAAGAAAUUAUAAUGAAAAUUGCAUCGUUAAAGUCAUUUAUAAUGAUUAUAUGAUUAAGAAAGAUCUUAUGAUAAAAAAGCUUGUGUAGGAAUUAAUAUCUAUCAAUUUUUUACGUUUACAAAAAUAGUAUUGGCAAAACUGAAUGAAAGGUUUAAUAGCAAUGUUCAUCUAAAUGUUGAUUGACUACAAAUAUAUUUUUCUAUACCGAUUCAUAAGAUAUUGACUUUUUCUUUUUUCAUUAUUUUUAGUGAAAACAAUGUGACGCGUAUUAGAAUAUACCUUUUCAACAUAAUUCAAUACAUUUAAGAUAUGUAAUACAAUCUUCACCGCUCAUUAGUGUUUUUUUUGCUUGAUUUUUACUGACACCAUUUUUAUUGGAUUGUUACAAAUAUUUUAGAUGAUAAAGUAAGAUAUUAAAAUUUACAAAAAACGAAUAACACGAGAGGAGAGAGAGUUCGUCACCAAAAAGAUGCAUUUCAAUUCACCUCCUCCUACACAAUCCCAACCAGCCAAAUUCUCUCGAAAUCAUGGAAAAGUAUUAUAUAUUAAUUUUUUUAAAAAUGUAGAACAAUUAUAUUAUAAAAAACUUGAGAACAGUAAUUUAAUAAAAGUACUUUGAUCUUAAAAUUAUUAUAAAAUAUAUUUUGUGUCUAAUAUUUUUCAUUUCAUAAUGAAUAAUAUAGUUAAAACAAUAAAUUUUGAUAACUUAAAUUGUGAAUGUAAAAUGUAGAAAAAUAAAAUUAUAGAAAACCCAUUUCUGAAUUUAGAGGAAAAUUAAGAUCUAAUCAUUUAUUUUUAAAAUCGUAACUUAUUUCAUUAAAAAGUUUGUUCACUUACAUAAUGUACCUGCUUAAAUAUAAACUAUGGAUUUGGAAAAACAAACAAAAUAAAGUAGUAUAUUUAAGAUAAUUUUCACACUUUCUAAACACAAAGAAGAUAUCGUAUAUGUUGCUGGAUACUUUAAUCUUUUCUUGUGCACCGGAAACUUUAAUCUUACAUGAAAUGUUGUUUAUCAAUACAUACCGUUAAAGAAAAUUUUAAUACAUAAAACCAUGCUAAUUUCACUGCACUUAUUUUAAGUGCUAUAGAAAUGAAACCAAUAUUCGAUUUAAACAAAGGAGGUUUAUAAAAGAAAGCUGGUUGGAUAGAAAACAUAAAACAUUACAAAUUUAAAAUUAAAUAUUAAAUAUAUUUUGUGCUGCUAAACAAAGAAAUAAAUUGUUAAAAUAUGUAAUUUCAAGAUCAAAGCAAGAAAUGUGUAAACCAAGAAAUAUCCAUUCAAAUUUGAAAUGUGAGAUAAUCUAAAUUUCGUUUGUACGACGAAUACUGAUUUUCAUUUCACGGCCAGCGACGACACCUUUGAAAAGACAUAAGUGUCAAAAGUUGCUAAUUUUGAUGAAUAAGUGGUUGUUAACAAAAAAUAGAUGCAACUGACUUAAAUCAAAGAAAAGAAACUGUAUGAUGUGUUUUUUUUGUGUGUUUUUGACUUUUCUUUCAUACAUAUUUCGUUAAGAAUAUUGAACAUACAUAAAUUUUAGGUUUCUAUAACAUUUUUGUUUGUCUCUAACCAACAAUUAAAUAUGUUUGUGUGGGAUAAUAUACAUAAAAUCUCUUAUGAAUGUUUUUAUAUCCUCUUGGAAAUUUAAGCAUGUAUCCAAAACAGGCAGUUGCAAAUAGGCAUGAAGAAAACAAUGUAAAUUCACAAUUCUUAACUAUUCCAAUUAUGAUGCCAUGGGAGUUUUCUGAGUUUAAAACGUGAUACCUAUGCCGACUUAAAUAUUCCAAUGGAAAACCAUGGCCACCGAAAAGAAACACCACCAGAAUAACACUCUCCAACCGAGAGACACAUCGUUUGAUCAACCCAUGACUAUCAUAUGAUUGUUGGAUUUUAAUUUUUUUUUCUUCAACUCGUUUUUCACAGUUACACGCCGCCCUUUCAUAUCUCUUGGGUUGACAUGGUUAUAACUCGAAGCACCGCCUAGGCCAACCGAAUGACCGAUCAUCACCUUCUCUUGCAGCGCUGACUCGGCCGAUUUUGCGUCAACUCGGCUGCAUUUUUAAACACUUGUUUCCAUAACGAAAACUGUAGGACAUUAAAAAUGAAAGGGAGUAAGAACAAUAGCAUGAAAAAGUGAUAAAGAAACAAUAUAUAAAUUUGUUAAGAAGUUUUCUUUUGGAAGGGUUGUGUCUUUUGGUACAAAAAGAAGCGGUUUAAUUUUAAUUUUAAAAUAUAAAUAGGGGGUGUAUUCAAUUUAAUUUUAAAGUUUGAGUUCAUUUGAUUUUAAUGCAUUUUUAGAUGAUUUUACAUGAAUUAUAGUUUUUAAAGUGAUUUUUGUUAAACCAAUCUAGAGUAUCACACUUAAAAUCAUGAGAUUUUUUUUUUUAAACUAAAAAACACGACAGAAACAUUCUAAAAUUACUAAAAAUUUGAAAACUCUGCAAUUUAAAUUUUUUUCAGUGACAUCAAAUUUUAGAGUAUUUUAUGAAAUGUAAAAUUCAAUAACAUUGGAUUUUAAAUGAGUCUUUAAAAUUCUUUUUUGAAUAACAAUGGAUUUGUCAUUUUAAUACAUGUCACCUCAAAAUCUAAGUUGAAUACACCCUCAAUGGUAUUUAUAUUAAGGGUAAACAUAUCCUUGAUAUUAAUUCUGACAUAUUUGGUAUGGAAUAAGUUUACUCUUUGUUAGAAUUGGAUGAGUAAAAAUGAGAGUAACACUACAAACGGCAAUAACCGUUGGAAACCCGUCAAAAGUCGUACUAAUUUCCGACGGAUAAGGUAAUCAUCUCCGUAUCGUCAUAAAUUAUAUAUCCAUUGGAAAUCAUUGAAAAUUUCCUAUCGUUAACCGAUGAACUUUUACUGUCAGAUAUAUUCAACAUAAAUUAACAGAAAUUUUCGUUGAGAAUUUUCAACCGUUAACCGAGGAGACUAUUUGGUCCAAAAUUUCCAACCAAAAUACAUGUUGGAAAUUAUCACAUUCUAUAACAAGGGAUUAUCACAUUCUCCAAUGUAUGUUCGAAUUGGUAUAACUUCUUCAGUCUGUCUGUUAUUGGCAAAUACCACAUUUUUCGUAUAUGGGAUUCUAGUCUUUUCAUUUGUUUUUUGAAACCGUGAUUUGCGACAAAAUAGACAACUAGUACGAUCAACAUCCCUUCUCUAGUAUAACAUACAGUCGUCAAUGUUUAAUACUCUAGAAUCAUAUAUGCCAAUCAUAUAUGCCAUGUAUUUAUAAAUACCAGUGUAUUCAUUUAUAAAUGAAUAAGAUAGAAUACCUUCUUACAAUUUACACGUACAUCAUAAUGAAACCUAGUGAUGCUUACCGUAUAUUUAGAAUUUUUUUACAAUGUGUAAAUUCACACUGUUAAUGUAAUUACUUCUAAGAAUAUAAACAACUUUUCGUGGGAAACAAGGGCCUAUAGGCCGUGGUGACCAACUAAGGGCGGAUGUAAGAUUAUAUUUAGAUGGGUGCAUAUGACUCUUUUCAUUAUGUAUAAUUUCUAAAUUGAGCAUUCCUUUGAUUUUGAAAAUUAUAAAUCUGUGGGCAUGUGACCCUGUGGCUUUGCGUCUGC